rnacentral:rRNA from 1 species
AUGUUCGAGUAUGUAAAUGUUGUCAGCAAGAUGUUUGAUAGUGAGGCUGAAGGCUAUGAAUUCUACAACAAAUAUGCUCUUGAAAAAGGUUUUAGUGUGAGGAAAAGCUACGUUGAGUGGGAUGGAUCCAACAAAUACAUAAUUUUAAGAAAAAUUGUGUGUAGUCGUCAAGGGUUUCGCAAAGAGAAGCACAUGAAAAGAAAGAUGGAAGAUAGAAAGAGGAGGCCACGAAGUUUAACUCGUGUUGGGUGUAAUGCUAAAUUGGUCAUUACGAGACAGGAGGAAACCGGUCGGUGGUUUGUCAAGGAUUUCAUCGAUGAGCACAGCCAUCCUCUAGCCCCAUGGGAUCUUUCUUGUCUCCUGCGUUCGCACAGAUGA